ensembl:piRNA 21ur-12444 ncRNA
UAGUUGAUUUUCAUUUGUCAG